AUUGAACGCUGGCGGCAGGCCUAACACAUGCAAGUCGAACGAGUGGCGGACGGGUGAGUAAUGUCUGGGAAACUGCCUGAUGGAGGGGGAUAACUACUGGAAACGGUAGCUAAUACCGCAUACCAUCGGAUGUGCCCAGAUGGGAUUAGCUAGUAGGUGGGGUAAAGGCUAACCUAGGCGACGAGCCCUAGCUGGGCUGCGAGGAUGACCAGCCACACGGGAACUGAGAAACGGUCCAGAUUCCUACGGGAGGCAGCAGGGGGGAAUAUUGCACAAUGGGCGCAAGCCUGAUGCAGCCAUGCCGGGUGUAUGAAGAAGGCCUUCGGGUUGUAAAGUACUUUCAGCGGGGAGGCGUUACCCGCAGAAGAAGCACCGGCUAACUCCGUGCCAGCAGCCGCGGUAAUA
rnacentral:rRNA from 1 species